rnacentral:lncRNA from 1 species
UUUAAUUUUUUGUGGCUAUAUGGAUGGACAAACGGGCGAAACAAUGCGAAUGGGGUAUUUUCGGGCCAAAUCGGUGUGUUAUUUCACACGAUUUCAGAGGUGGGCAUGGGGUCUGAACAUGGUGUGGGCCAUAAAUCAACCAAGGCGUGCCAGUAAGGUUGGGGAUCAUCCCAGUGUGGUUCGUUUAAUUUGUUGUGGCUGUUUGGGUGGACAAACAGGCGAAAUGGCAU